rnacentral:rRNA from 1 species
UACGGGGGGGGCAAGCGUUGUUCGGAAUUACUGGGCGUAAAGGGCUCGUAGGUGGCCAACUAAGUCGGACGUGAAAUCCCUCGGCUUAACCGGGGAACUGCGUCCGAUACUGGUUGGCUUGAGUUUGGGAGAGGGAUGCGGAAUUCCAGGUGUAGUGGUGAAAUACGUAGAUAUCUGGAGGAAUACCGGAGGCGAAGGCGGUUAACUGGCCCAACAUUGACACUGAGACCCGAAAGCGUGGGGAUCAAACAGG